CCUACGGGAGGCAGCAGUGAGGAAUAUUGGUCAAUGGCCGUAAGGCUGAACCAGCCAAGUCGCGUGAAGGAAGAAGGAUCUAUGGUUUGUAAACUUCUUUUAUAGGGGAAUAAUGGUAUCCAUGUGUGGAUAUUUGCAUGUACCCUAUGAAUAAGCAUCGGCUAACACCGUUCCAGCAGCCGCGGUAAUACGGAGGAUGCGAGUGUUAGCCGGAUUUAUGGGGGUUAAAGGGUGCGCAGGCGGAGGAUCAAGUCAGCGGUAAAAUUGAGAGGCUCAACCUCUACGAGCCGUUGAAACUGGGUAGCUUGAGUGAGCGAGAAGUAUGCGGAAUGCGUGGUGUAGCGGUGAAAUGCGUAGAUAUCAGGCAGAACUCCGGUUGCGAAGGCAGCAUACCGGCGCUCAACUGACGCUCAUGUACGAAAGUGUGGGUAUCGAACAGGAUUAGAUACCCUUGUAGUC
rnacentral:rRNA from 1 species